rnacentral:rRNA from 1 species
GUCGGAAUUGCUAGUAAUCGCGGAUCAGCAUGCCGCGGUGAAUACGUUCCCGGGCCUUGUACACACCGCCCGUCACACCAUGGGAGUCGGGAACACCCGAAGUCCGUAGUCUAACCGCAAGGAGGGCGCGGCCGAAGGUGGGUUCGAUAAUUGGGGUGAAGUCGUAACAAGGUACC